AGAACAGAGAAUGGAAACAGGAUGAGAGGAGAGGAGAGAAACAGGAUAGAAACAGCGGGUGGGAGUGAGAGCCCAGACAAGGCCCAGGAGAGGUGCCCUUUUUGUCUCUGGAUGACUGUGGAUCUUCCCCCAACACACACUCACAUAACCCUUCUCCUUAGCGCAUAAUUAAAGUUCCCGCCUUUUCCAGUUCCCUGAUCAUGGGACAGGGAUCCGCUGAUGGGGAUGCGGCAACCAGGUGCAUCUAUGAGCCCUGGGACAUUUUCCAUGUGGGAUUGUUAUUGUGUCCAUAAGCAUUGAGGCUAUUCAUAUGCUGAAGCUGCAUGAAUACAGGAGCAGAGGCCCUUGAACCUGAGAUGUCAGGGAAUGCCGGGGAGUGGUAGCCCAGAACCCUGAGGAGGCACUGAGCAGGAGCAGAGGCAGAGAGG